rnacentral:rRNA from 1 species
AUACGUAGGGGGCAAGCGUUAUCCGGAUUUACUGGGUGUAAAGGGAGCGUAGGUGGUUCUGUAAGUCAGAUGUGAAAGCCCGUGGCUCAACUGCGGGACUGCAUUUGAAACUAUAGAACUAGAGUGCAGGAGAGGUAAGUGGAAUUCCUAGUGUAGCGGUGAAAUGCGUAGAUAUUAGGAGGAACACCAGUGGCGAAGGCGGCUUACUGGACUGUAACUGACACUGAGGCUCGAAAGCGUGGGGAGC